rfam:Gossypium hirsutum cultivar TM-1 unplaced genomic scaffold scaffold845.1, whole genome shotgun sequence
AGUUAAAAUUUUCAUCAAUUUUUAUUGCUAAAAACUGGUGUGGUUGAUGAAAUAACUAAACAGUUAUACAUGGCAUGCUAUGUUACAAUACUAGUUUUUAACAGUAAAAAUGAAUGGAAUUUUUAAUA